rfam:Avibacterium paragallinarum JF4211, WGS project CBMK01000000 data, contig: 55-4
AAUUACCUGAGAUGUUCGCGAGUGGGUUACGUCCCUGAGCCGAUACUUAACAUCUUAUGAAUUGGUUUCCUAUUGUUGGUGUGCAAGCUUAACUUGAUUAAGAAGCCUAAAAACAAUAAUCACCGAUUCCCUUGAACCGUAGGGUUCAAGGACCGAACACCCACAACGGCAUCUCGGGUUCUUC